GGAGAGGUGGCCGAGUGGUUGAAGGUGCCUGUCUUGAAAACAGGCGUGCCGCUUGCGCGGUACCGUGGGUUCGAAUCCCACCCUCUCCGCCA
rnacentral:tRNA from 1 species